GUUGAAUAAAGCUCUGCGCAGCAUGGUGGUGUCAACAUCCUCGUGGGUGGCCAUAGUGUUAUAGGACAGAGUGCGUCCUGCGAAGCUGGAAGUUCCUGUCAGCUGGACCUGGGGUGCAUUGAAAGAUGCAUGAACCUAACGGGAGAGCACCAGCAUUCGGGCAAGGUGGAGGAGGAGGCCUACAUAAGAGGAACAUGGUGGUCGCAGAGUCGCUUCUACAUGUCUAUAUGAAAAAUACCGAAGAUUCCUCUUCCUUCUAAAACUUCUAUCACAAUACUGCCAUAGAUUCCUGACUCAAUACACGUGGCUGAUAUCUGUACAAGCAAACACUUGUCACAUGAAGGCAAUUCCUUCCUCAUCCAGAAGCUGGCACAGAUCAACCUAGAAUCCACUUUCUAGCUGUGUCAAGAAAAUACA